rnacentral:misc_RNA from 1 species
UGACUUUCUCCUUUGGAUUAGGGAAAAUACUCUUACCCCUGAGGACAGUGUGACAGCCUGACAAAAUAGCUCCCAUAAAAUCCAAAUUUUUUCACAAGGCAGCCUGCCGGGUGAGGUUCAGUAUGCGUGAGUCCUUGUGGGGCAAAGGGUAGGUGUGCGCUGUUGGGCAGGCAGUGCGUGUGGAAAUGAGGUUCAUAUGCUGACAGGGCAGGCAGGUGCGUAGGAGAAUCAGUGAGGCGCUGUAGCGCAUUGUGGGGUUGCGGGGUGCGCAAGGAAACGAGGUUCAACGAGCGAGCAGGCGAGCAGAAUGCGCACUGGUGUGCACGGAGCACCUGGCAAGUGAGGUUUAAGCGCCUGGAGAGUGUUGGAAGCUCUUGAAGCUGGCAGGCCGAUAUGAGGUUCACACCUGGAAAUCUCCGGAACCACCUGGGACAGUCUUGCACCGCAUAAUGGACCAGUUGGCUAAAGGUUAUUGGGCAGCAGCCCUCCCUAGGUGGGCCACCAUGGUUGCCGACCUACAAGCUUCAUGAAGGAUCUUUUGAGUGUUCUCCAAGCAUAUUCGGAUUUUUCUAAGGCAAGUGGGCUAGAUAUCUAGCUUGGAUAUUUUCUGAGGCCAAAUCUCCACUGUCCAAAGUAAUGAGGUGAUCAAGAGGAGAUCCUAGCCAUCCAAAUGAGGCUCAAUCUCCACCACAAGUUGAGGCGGCAUUUUCUCCACCACAAGCUAAGACGGCUAGCUAGGGACUUCCGUGCUCAUUUGUACACACCUCGAGUCACUUGUAUAAUUAGCUUUGUAAAGCUAUUCUCUUGUAGCCUCAGACUUGUACAGCCAAUUUUAUUGGGUUAUAAAAUUACUUUCUCUUUGCCAAACUCUUUCCAUUGUUUAUCUUUGUUUCCUUUUGUACUUUCU